UUUUUUAACGUUAUGCCAAGGUGUACAGCCAUGUUCUGUACAACUUGGUUCACAAAGUGUGCACCAUUGUCACUGUAAAUGGUUUGGGGGAUGCCAUGAGUCGGUAUGAUGGCUUUGCAAAUGGCUUUUGCCACUGUUAAGGCAUCUGCACGUUUAGAUGGAACUAUUUCCACCCAUUUGGAAAAUGCAUCAAUCAUCACUAGGCAGUAUUUGUGAGGUCCACUUUAUGUGAGUUCAAUAAAAUCCAUAUGCACGAUUUGAAAUGGGUAAGACGGUUUUGGAAAUGAACCUCUCUUAGGUCUCAUAAGGUUUAUGGGACAUUUUGGGGAUAGCACAAUCGAGACUGAAGCUAUGACUCCCGUUUCAUCAUCUCUCACUACAACUGGAUUGGAGAUACUCUCCUUGUGUACCUGCCCAUCAGCAGAUUUUACCCAAAUAGUAUUUUGGGAGGCCUUUAGAUUUGGGACUUUAGUUUUUAUUACGGUUUUACAAGCUCCGGUAUCACACAAAAACUCUACUUCACUUCCUCCAAUGUUUAAGGUAACAUAUGGUUU